rnacentral:rRNA from 1 species
GACGAACCGUGCGAACGUUGUUCGGAAUCACUGGGCUUAAAGGGCGCGUAGGCGGGCGGUCAAGUCGGUGGUGAAAUCCUUCAGCUCAACUGGAGAAUGGCCGCCGAUACUGACUGCCUCGAGGGAGGUAGGGGCAUGUGGAGCUCAGGGUGGAGCGGUGAAAUGCGUAGAUAUCCUGAGGAACGCCGGUGGCGAAAGCGACGUGCUGGACCGCUUCUGACGCUGAGGCGCGAAAGCCAGGGGAGCAAACGGG